rnacentral:rRNA from 1 species
AUUGAACGCUGGCGGCAGGCCUAACACAUGCAAGUCGAACGAGUGGCGGACGGGUGAGUAAUGCUUGGGAAACUGCCCGAUGGAGGGGGAUAACUACUGGAAACGGUAGCUAAUACCGCAUACCAUCGGAUGUGCCCAAAUGGGAUUAGCUAGUUGGUGAGGUAACGGCUCACCAAGGCGACGAUCCCUAGCUGGUCUGAGAGGCUGACCAGCCACACUGGAACUGAGACACGGCCCAGACUCCGACGGGAGGCAGCAGUGGGGAAUAUUGCACAAUGGGGGCAAGCCUGACGCAGCCAUGCCGCGUGUAUGAAGAAGGCCUUCGGGUUGUAAAGUACUUUCGGCGGGGAGGCGUUACCUACAGAAGAAGCACCGGCUAACUCCGUGCCAGCAGCCGCGGUAAUAC